AUUGAACGCUGGCGGCAUGCCUUACACAUGCAAGUCGAACGGCAGCACGGGUGCUUGCACCUGGUGGCGAGUGGCGAACGGGUGAGUAAUACAUCGGAACAUGUCCUGUAGUGGGGGGUAGCCCGGCGAAAGCCGGAUUAAUACCGCAUACGAUCUACGGAUGAAAGCGGGGGACCUUCGGGCCUCGCGCUAUAGGGUUGGCCGAUGGCUGAUUAGCUAGUUGGUGGGGUAAAGGCCUACCAAGGCGACGAUCAGUAGCUGGUCUGAGAGGACGACCAGCCACACUGGGACUGAGACACGGCCCAGACUCCUACGGGAGGCAGCAGUGGGGAAUUUUGGACAAUGGGCGAAAGCCUGAUCCAGCAAUGCCGCGUGUGUGAAGAAGGCCUUCGGGUUGUAAAGCACUUUUGUCCGGAAAGAAAUCCUUGGCCCUAAUACGGUCGGGGGAUGACGGUACCGGAAGAAUAAACACCGGCUAACUACGU
rnacentral:rRNA from 1 species